UUGGCGCCGGGUGUCCUGCCGCUGCUUGCGCGGCGGCCCUCGUUUCCUCUUCCGGUUGUUAGUCGCGCAGCGUGAGGUGCUCAGCUCCCCAGGGACCACUGGUCCCUUCAUUAGUGACGUAUUUCAUCAUUAGUUUAGAGAGUUCGGCAUGCUUACAGGCAGUUAUUGUUCUAGGUGUUAACUUUCUGGGUGUACAGAGCAGCUCUAAGCCGGCAACACGGCCCGGUUGCCCUUGCGAUCAAAGAGAAGAGGGCUGGGCGCUCCAUGAUUUAGCCUGAGGCUCUUCAAACAUCCAUUCUGCUUCCACGCAUGGCUUGUGCCAUUGGUUCUCUUCCCUCAGCACCCUGAAAGGACAGAAAAAAGCAAUCCGAUUCCAGAAAAUUCAGAGAGGCAAAUGGAGGCGCCUGGUGCCCCGCCUAGAACCCUGACUCGGGAAGCCAUGGAGCAGAUCCGGUAUUUACGUGCGGAAUUUCCAGAGUCCUGGUCAGUUCCCAGGUUGGCUGAAGGCUUUAAUGUCAGCACUGAUGUGAUCCGAAGAGUUUUAAAAAGCAAGUUUGUACCCACAUUGGAGCAGAAGCUGAAGCAGGAUCCAAAAGUCCUUCUUAAGAAAGCUGGGCUUGCCCACUCUCUCCAGCAGCUCCGGGGCGCUGGAAAUACCUCAAAGCUGCUCCCUGCAGGCCACUCUGUAUCAGGCUCUUUGCUUAUGCCAGGGCAUGAAGCCUCAUCCAAAGACGCGAAUCACAGCACAGCUUUGAAAGUGAUAGAGUCAGACACUCUACAGGACAAAUAUACCAAGGAGAUGGAAGGGAAGAAAUAAAGAAAUCCAGCACCUGGAGGAGAGCUUUGUGCCUGUUGCUGUACCCCUAGGUCAUCCAAGAGAGCUACAGAAGUACUCCAGUGAUUCUGAGAGCACCAGAAGAACUGGCAGUGGUGCAUUGCCAAGUGAUCAGAAGCUGGAGGAGUUGAAGGCAGAGGAGCCGGGUAACUUCAGCAGCAAAGUAGUGCAGAGGGGCCGAGAGUUAUUUGACAGCAAUGGGAACUUCCUGUACACAAUUUGAGUCGGGGCUUGGUUUGUGGAGAUGCCUUGUGAAACACAGCUGGGCAAGGAAUAUAUAUGGAAUAGCCUGGAUUUCUACCUAUGGAGAAGCCACCUUGGAAUAGGAAGAAGUGUUGAGCCUGGACUGUGGGAGGAAAAAACUGCGUGGAUAGAUUCAGACUUCCUGUAGUAGUGCCCCCAAUCUGACCUCUGUUGAUCUUCAGUACUCACUCUUCUUGCUUGGACACUCUGUAUGUUGAAAACCAGCCAUGUUGCAUGUGUUGUUACAAUUUUCUGUGAUACUUGCAAUUUAUAGUUGAGAGGAAGUGAAAAGUUUGCCUUCUGACCUCAUUUCCUUCUUGAUCAGUGAACACUAACAUUUUUGGGACAACUUAGUCAAUUGUUUUCCUUACAAGCAAAAUAAAGUAAAAUGUAGCAGUC